AAAUUAUCUUAUGAAAUUUAUUAUUUUUUAAAAUGAAAAAAAAGUUAAAACUAUCGAUAUUUAGGUAAUAAAAAUAUUUAGAGUUUUACAGCUAAUUUACAACGCCCCUGUUAAAUAUUCUAUACCGAGUGCGCAACAAUGACAGAAUUUAGAAAACCAUCAAAAUAGUAUGAUUCUCCGUAUGUGAUUGGAAGAGUCAACUUGAACACUUUAAACUGAUCUGAACAAACUGCACGAGGCAUUGCAAAUGUUUACUCGGUGUUGUAUUGAUUCUUGACUGGCUGUUAAUUUUACACAAGCUAAAGACGACCUUAUUUUGAAUACAAGUAAGUUUUUUUUUUAUAAUUAGUUUUAUGUAAUUUUAUGUAAAAUAUUCAAUCGUGUUUUAUAUGUAUCUAAGUAUUUAGUAAAGGAAUAUUUGCCAGUGUGACCGAGCGGACGACAUUCUGAAAUAUCUAUCGAGGUUUGAGUCCAAUCGUUAGAACCUUCUCUUUUUUUUUUAAAUUUUUUAUUGGUUUUUUUAAAAAUUCAAAAAUAGAACACAAUAAAAAGAGAA
rnacentral:lncRNA from 1 species